CACAACCAUCUCAGACUCGUUUGGGAAUAGAACCCACCGAUGGUAAUGACCCACCGUUCGUCCGUAUGUUUCACGCAAUUCGAUGGUGCAAUUUCAUCAGCCUCCCCGAAAAAGAUUUCAUCCGAAUUUCACUAUAUAUGUACGUAUGUAUUACCUGUCCCCCGGCGGAUGGGAAAAACACCCCUCGGCGCUUAGAGAACCGGCUAGGAAUAUCUCAAGACGCAUUUUAACUUGGCUGCAACGCAGUAGGAAAACUGCCUGCCGUCUCUUUCCUCGCGGCUAUAGGCCUGUCUCUCUCUCUUUGCGCAGGUACAUCAUAUUGUAUCUGAUGAAAACGAAAGCAAAAUCCGAACUGGUUUCUUCGAGGGUUGAUAAGCCCUAAUGGAGGUGGAAAAUGCGGAGAAGAGCCGCUCUCUCACCCAAAAAAUAAAAUAUAUAAACAUAUCAGCCGGCACGUAGGGCGGUUUCUAUGCUGUGGACUACGUGCUAGAUGACACGGCAAAAUUGUCCGUGUUUUUCGUGUUCUGGCUCCCUUGUUUACCGUUUACUACUUUGGGGGUCAGUUGGCACCCAGCUAACUCCCACCCCCAUCUAGUGUAAUUGAUGGAUUUGGGUCAUGCUUUCCCCAAUUCAAAUAUGCUCCUCGUCACAUGGAAAUCUACUUUCAAGAUUUCUAGGUGGGCGCCAUCCCCUGUCCCACAUCGAGAUCAUGAUCGCCGCAGAUCAACACACGUGGCCACCUUUUGUCAACCCCAUAUCCCUCGGAAUGGCCCGUGGCCAAUAUCCGAAUUACGUCGAAUCGUGGGCGCCAACGUAGGCAAAAGUUCCUGUAGCACUAUUUACAUGCGUCCAACGAUUAAAUAUCGUCAACAUCGCCCCCGCAUAGCUAAAACCGCUCGUGCCGCUGCUUGGAUCCACCCUAUGCUUGCUGCGAUCAGUGGGGCAUAUUAGUUUGAUUCCAAACAAGAUAUUCCACCUCAAAGAACUUGGGAACUAAUAAGGGUUCGAUCACCAAAUUUGGUGAUAUGAUAUAUGUAUUUCUUUAGAUAUGUGCGCUAAUAUUAAACGGCUAAGAAGUCAAUGUGCCAAAGAAAAGAUAUUAAAUAUGUAUGUUUCAUAUCAGUCAAGUUAAAUUUUGAUAUGAGCUAAGCGUACUUUUGGAUUGUGCACUCCUAAAUAUAGAAAUCACGCUAAAAUUGCAUAUCUAAGUAAAUAAAGCAAGUAAGUUAUGUAAGACGUGU
ensembl:ncRNA lncRNA:CR43928 long non-coding RNA:CR43928